GGUUGAGAGAAUGUUGCUUCUGAAAACAAGCAGCAUAUUCUAAUUCGGACACAAUGAAACAUCUGAACAAUCCUGAUAGUCUCAUUUUCAGAGUAUUUGACUUGUUUCCAGACUUUUCUAAAGAUACUCCACGUCAUAUGUUUUGGCAUUGUGUUUUAUGUUCUUACUUUUGAGAAGUUGUGGGCAUUGUAGAGAACCAACUAGAUCUUGGUUAGUCCUUUCUAGGUGUUGGUGUUUCCAGAAAACAUCACAGAUGUUGGUGACACCCUGAUGAGGUCUUUGUAACACCAAAAUGCCUUUACAGUAGAUUCAAGUAUUUCCCAACAGAAUGAAGUCAAUCAAAUAUUUAUUUCAAGCACAUACAAUCGAUGUAGAGGAUAAUGUUAGAUUUUUUUAAAUAUAGAUUUGUACAUGUUUUUGUAUAUACUGCCUUAUUUGUUAAUGAUAUUCUGAAGCUGUCUCCUGGAGUUGGACCACAUUCCUUUUAAAUGACUUGUUUGAUUUCAGCUCCUGGUCAACUGAAAUCCAAUUCAAAAUCACUAUAUGAAAAGGCUUCAUGAACAAUCUAGGACAUUCUAUGGAACUGUAGAAUCACAGAAGAAUUGAAGGCAUAAUGAGGAGAGACAACAACACUGUGAUGAACAGGUAAACUGUCCAAAGGGUGGAGUCAUGUUACACUACAGAAACCAGAGACAUGGCAUUCUCUGUCAGACAAGGCUACGUCCUUAUAUCAGUGGUGUGAAUGUGUUGAGUCACAGUGCAAAGUAGAGUGCUGGUUCAAAUGGACCCUUUUCAUGUCCUCAUCUCAAACCGUACAGAAACACCUUCUGUGUGACUGAACCUCCACACAACCUACUGCUGAACACCAAGGUUCCAGUGGAUCUGAAGGGUUUCAGCUAGAGAAGUCGAAUCCUCCAACCAUCUAUUUCUGGAACAUCUGUUUCCAAAAAUUGCAGUUAUUUUGCAACUCUACUACCUUCCCUGAACAAGCACUUCAUCUGAAUUCAACAUCCCCAGUUUAUUACAGCAUCCUCUACCACAAUAAACUGUCUGUUAAUGUGUCCAUCUAUCCUGUAAAUGUUGGGCUGUUGGUAAAAGGAUAUGAUUGUACAAUAAGCUUCUUAAGUAUGUUUGUAUAUGGAAAUUAGCUUUAAAAAUGCAUUUAUUUAUUUUCUUUCUGUUGUAUCCUGAGCAUUGUUCUGAAGCGAAUAGGGAGGGGCUGUAGGCAGGGGGAGUGGCUAUUUGUCAAGGGGGAGGAGAAAUGGAUGGGGGUGUAAGACUGACAAGUAUACAUACAUAGAGACAGACACACGGCCACAGAGACAGACAGAGGUUACAUACAUAGAGACAGACACAUGGCCACAGAGACAGACAGAGGUUACAUACAUAGAGACAGACACACGGCCACAGAGACAGACAGAGGUUACAUACAUAGAGACAGACACACGGC
ensembl:lncRNA